rnacentral:RNase_P_RNA from 1 species
AGGAUAGAGCGGAUGGUCGCUGGUUCCCGAGCGCAAGUUUGGGACGAGAGGAAAGUCCGAGCUCCGCAGGGUAGCGUAGUGGGUAACGCCCAUCGCUUCGUACCUCGGUACGGAGUAGGAUCAGAGCCACAGAGACGAGUCAAAUUUUGCUUUGUAAAGUAUUUCGGUAGCUAAGAUGCUUGCUACUCGCUCGCAUCUUUUAACGCUGCCUCAAUACCAAAUUUUGCAGAGCAAAAUUUGGGUGAAACGCGGUAAUCUCUACGCGGAGAAAGGUUAAAUAGGAAGGGAUGCUUAUAUGGCAACGAACCGACCCGGUUCGUCAUUACUUUCGGGUUGACCGCUAAUUGAUCUUGUCGGCAACGGCAAGGCUAGAUGGAUGGCCGUCAAAUACAGAACUCGGCUUAUAGCUCUAUCCUCUUU